GGCUAUGGCUGUACCACCCUGAACGUGCCCGAGCUCGUCUGAUCCCGGAAGCUAAGCAGGGUCAGGCCGGAUUAGUACUUGGAUGGGAGACCUCCAGGGAGUACCGGGUGCUGCAGGCC
rnacentral:rRNA from 1 species